GGUCGACGAAUUUUUUUAUUUUUAUUUUUAUUUUUUUGUAGGAACGAGGUCUCACUAUGUUGCCCAGGCUGGUCUCAAACUCAAACCUGUAAUCCCAGCACUUUGAGAGGCCGAGGUGGAUGGAUCACUUAAGGUCAGGAGUACAAGACCAGCCUGGCCAUGGUGGUGAGACCCUGUCUCUACUAAAAUUACAAAAAUUAGCCGGGUAUGGUGGCACACUCCUGUACUCUCACCUACUCGGGAGGCUGAGGCAGGAGAAUUGCUUGAACCCAGGAGGCAGAGGUUGCGGUGAGCCGAGAUUGUGCCACUGCACUCCAGCCUGGGCAACAAGAAUGAAACUGUGUCUCAAAAAAAAAAAAAAAAAAAAAAAAAAAUCUAUGAAGCCCAGUAAUAAGCCCUUGAUAAGCCCUUGAUUUGUCAUUCAGAUUGUAUUUUCUUUGGAUCAUCUUUUGCCGUUUUAAAAACUUGGGUGAAAUCUGUUCAUUUCCUUUAUGAUUUCUGACAUCACUAUUCUGCCUGGAAAUCCUUUUACCCUAGUAAUAGGCAUAUGCACCUGUAUUUCAUAUCAGCACGACAUUUAAACCACCAGCUCAUGACCUCAGGGGGUCACCUUGUUGGUUUAUCCAGCAGGAGUAAAGCCUACCUUGGAAAUCUGAGGGUGGCCGCGAACCCACAAGUCCAGAUUCGCAGGUGCGCGCGCUAAGGACUGAGCUAUUGGGGCGAUGGAAAGAGUCUCUCUCUGCGCCAAGGGCGGAAGGACAUGUUAAAAAAAAAAAAAAAAAAAAAAAAAAAAAUUAAAGCGCAGUUCGUUGGUCUAGGGGUAUGAUUCCCGCUUUGGGUGCGAGAGGUCCCUGGUUCAAAUCCCAGACGAGCCCUUUUUCCUUCUCUUUUUUCCCCUUUCGCAUUUUCAGCAAGGACGGGAGACUAGGAAGGCGAAGGGAGGCUGCUGUUGGCAGAGCCUCAGUGGGAACCUCCCGGGGUCCCGGGACGCAGACGGACGGGCCUGAAUCGCUCGCCUUGCAGUCGGUCCGUCACCCUGAAAUGGGAUCCAGCGCUGCCAACUGCGGGUUCGAGAGUAUGGCGGCUCCAGUCCCAGGUGAGCCCUACCAAGGUUUAAAAUUGCAUGGUAUUGCGGGGAGUAAUAUGUGUGGCGGGGGGCCAGUGGGAGGGGAGUGAGGGAGAGACGGAGGGGCGAAGGCCCGGGCAUCCUCCGGCAGCACUUUAGUGUGUCCUGGCGGGGUGGGGGUCUCGGCUCCCGUCUCCACGCCCAGACCCCGAGGCCUUCCCACUGAGAGCCAGGAAAUUCGAGGCUUGGAUCUGGAGGGGAGGAGGAGAUCCUUUCAGUCCAGAUCUGCCGGAUUCUCGGGCUCCGGGUGAAAUUUGGACACAGAGAAGGACAGAGUGACAGCAAAAGGUGCCCCGGAACCGACGCCUGGACGCGGCCUCUGCUGCCCCAAGGAGCCUCUGCUUCCCCACGUCCUGGUGACUGGAGGUUCCGCCAGUUCCCCAGUGAAGGGGAAGGAGGUACAUCGCUGACUCCGGCGGGCGCCGCGGGCCUAAUGGAGCGAAGCGACGCUCAGUGUCAGCCUCUUGAAUUGAGGUUCCGUGUGGGAAGCUCGCCUUCUGGGUUUUGGCUUCCCUGGGGAAGAAGGGAGGACCCGAGCGGGAGAAGCGUGGGACGCGGCGAGGUAGCGGGCCUGGUGGCUGGUUCCUGGUGCAGUCUCCAGGCCUUUACUGACCACCCAUCGGCACCACGCCGCGGGGCUGCAGCGUUUCCAAGGCGGGCGUCCAGUGGUCGCUGUUCCCGGACCCUCAGCGCAGCAGCUGCCCGCUCUUGAGACGUUCCCAUGUCCUGCCGGAGCUGGAGCUCCUCACUACGCGGCGUGACGGGCGGAUCCCCAGCCCAGGGCUGAGUGGCGGAGGCGGGCGAGGGCCCGGGGGGUCCCGGAUUGUGGGGGCACAGUGGAUGUUCCCCAUUUUGUGCGGCGCAGGGAGAAGCGGGGGCUCAGGGCUCCCUCCGCGCCCACCCGCGCUUGAACUUGUCUCUUCCAGACUUCAGGAAACCGGAGUCUCCUCCUAGCUCUGCUCUGCUGGGUCCCCACCUCUCGCCACGAGGACGCCACGAAGGCCACAGAGAGAAGCCGGAGUCAGCAGAGUAUGUGGCUCGUUGGUCUAGGGGUAUGAUUCUCGCUUAGGGUGCGAGAGGUCCCGGGUUCAAAUCCCGGACGAGCCCAAGUUUUGGUCCAAAACAUCGGUUUCUACCCUUUCCUACUUUAGAUGAAGAUCAGAGAUCCAAACAACUCUGACAGGUCAGAGCAGUCCGAGUCCUUCGAUGUUAGUUUGUUUGUUUGCUUGUUUUGAGAGGGUGUCUCUGUGGACCCAGCUGAAGCACAGUGAUGUGAUCUCACCUCACUGCAACCUCCUCCUCCUGGGUUCAAGCAAUUCUCCUGCCUCAGUCUCCCAGGUAGCUGGGACUACAGGCACGUGCCACCAUGCCUGGCUAAUGUGUGUGUGUGUGUGUGUGUGUGUGUGUGUGUGUGUGUGUUUUGUUUUGUUUUGUUUUGUUUUUAAGUAGAGACAGGGUUUCUCCGUGUUGGCCAGGCUGGUCUCCAACUCCUUACCUCAGGUGAUCAGCCCGCCUGGGCCUCCCAAAGUGCUAGGAUUACAGGCGUGACUCACCGCGCCCAGACUUCGAAGAUAAUUUGUACAAAGAUCCAAAGCUGUCUGACAGCACCCAGUGCCACAUUUAAAAUUUAUUUGGAGUUUUGUCGCCAGUGUCGCCAGAGCCCUAUCCCCUGAUAAGCUUAUUUUGUUUUCUGCUUUUUUAUUUUUAUUUUUUGUGACACUACUUUUGUCAGUAGGAACUCACUCGAGGCACUGAAGAAGAGGUAAGCCGUCCCUAUAUACAGUAAGAGCCGAGUCUUCACAGUCAGAUACCUUAAAAGGUCUACCCUGGGAUUCCCACCCAGUGUCCCUGCCUCCGGCGGCUAGAGCCUUAACGGGAGAAAGCCGGGCACUUGAGCAGAGGAGAAGGGCUAUGGGCGUUUGCAUCUGGGGUCCAGAGUCCUCUCCCUCCCCACAUCCCGACACUCCUCACCUGCGUGUAGCCUUCUGGGGCUCCUCUGCUCCCCCAUCCUAGUUCUGGAAGGAGUGCAGACCGAACCCAGGAGCCCGGGUAUCCGCGUCCUGAGUCCUAGCGCCCACCAGGACUGGAGCCUCCUCGCAUCUACUCUGAGGACAAAAUCCACUGGCAGAAUCUUCGUUUUUGUUUGGGAUGCUGGGUUUGAGAACACGCCAUGAACCAAGAGUCGUAAAUAAUCCAAUUUUGAGCACUUGAGAACCAAGUGGAAAGAAACUCAAGCCGAUUCAAAGUGACCAAUAUCUGGUUAUGCCCUUGAGCCCCUGCAGAAGCAAAGAAUAAUUUGUGUGUGCGUGUGGACAAAUACAUUUGUAUUCCAGAUCUCACAGAAAUUCCUACACCAAGAAAUUUACAAGGAAAAUGAACACUGCGCCCUAAAAAUUAACAAGGAAACAAGGUACCAGGAGCAACAACUCAUUAACAGGAACAGAAACUAAAUUGCAAACAUUUCAGAUGCAAAGUGUAUCAGACUCAUAAUACAACUAUUCCUACAGUGUCUAAAAAUAUGAAAGGCAAUAAAGAAAAUAUCUUUGACAACAGGACCUCCAGCCUUCUAGACUGAAAAAAGAACCAAAUAGUUCUAGAUAUAAAAGCACACAGUAAUGGAAACGGAACAACUAAAUGCACAUCACGGUAGGUUACAGUGCGGAGCAGUAUUGCGAGGGCUUCUGUGAGUCCCAGUGAGCUCUGGGCAUUCUGUCUGCAACUGCAAGGAUGGCCGAAACACAGCAGAACUCUCCUGUGCCUGUAACUCGAGUGGCCUCAAAAAAAAAAAAAAAAGGGUUGUCAUUGACUCUUUAAGUGCGUGCAGUCGCAGUCUGGGGACAUUUUUUCUCUUUCUGAAAGAAGGCCAUUUCAGCGGAGGGCACAGAUUGGGAGAACACAGAUUCAUGCCAGCGUGGUGCGGAAGGAGACUCUGGCGGGUCACCCCCAUUUAUGGGAGAACGCAGGGUGGUGAAGGAAGUCCUGCACUAGCGGGGACGUCGGUGGGGACUGAGGCUGCUGUGGGGGACCCCAAGUGCGCUCUGGUUUCUGGGGCUGAUUCAUUACCUCACUUUGUUUUCACCACCCUUAGGCCACCCAGUCCAUUUGUAGGUAUAGAAAGAAGCCUAUAAGGAAGCCCGGCUAGCUCAGUCGGUAGAGCAUGAGACUCUUAAUCUCAGGGUCGUGGGUUCGAGCCCCACGUUGGGCGUAUGUUUUGAUUCUGGCUGUCUCUCCCAGAAUCUACCCUCUAUCUGUGGAGGUAGAGGCCCCUGACAGAUGCAGACUUGCUGAUACCUUUUAGAUGUACCCCAAGGGUACGUCUUUUCCUCCCAGCUCUCUGCCCCUGGCAAUGCAAGACUUGGUGAAAGAAGAAACUCAGGCCGGGCGCGGUGGCUCAAGCCUGUAUUCCCAGCACUUUGGGAGGCCGAGACGGGCGGAUCACGAGGUCAGGAGAUCAAGACCAUCCUGGCUAACACGGUGAAACCCCGUCUCUACUAAAAAAUAAAAAAAAAAAAAAAACUAGCCAGGCGAGGUGGCGGGCGCCUGUAGUCCCAGCUGCUCAGGAGGCUGAGGCAGGAGCUUACAGUGAGCUGAGAUCUGGCCACUGCACUCCAGUCUGGGCGACAGAGCAAGACUCCGUCUCAAAAAAAAAAAAAAAAAAAAAAAAAAAAUUAGCCAGGCUUGGUGGUGCCCACCUAUACUCCCAGUUACUUAGGAAGCUCAGGAAGGAGAAUCGCUUGAACUGUGGAGGCACAGGUUGCAGUGAGCCGAGAUGAUGCCACUGCACUCCAGCCUGGACGACAGAGCGAGACCUUGUCUCAAAGAAAAUUAUAAUUAUAUAAUAAAAUUAUAUUAUGAUAUAAUCA
rnacentral:tRNA from 1 species